CCCUUAGAUGUCCUGGGCCGCACGCGCGCUACACUGACAUGUUCAACAAGCCUCCUAGUUCGACAGGAUUUGGGAAAUCUUUGAACGCAUGUCGUGAUAGGGAUAGAUCAUUGCAAUUAUUGAUCUUGAACGAGGAAUUCCUAGUAAACGCGAGUCAUCAGCUCGCAUUGAUUGCGUCCCUGCCCUUUGUACACACCGCCCGUCGCACCUACCGAUUGAAUGUUUCGGUGAAGAUUCCGGAUAGGACUUUUUUGAUUUAUUUCAAUUUUGUCUUAAAAGCUAUCUAAACCUCAACAUUUAGAGGAAGGUGAAGUCGUAACA
rnacentral:rRNA from 1 species